rnacentral:rRNA from 1 species
UACGUAGGGGGCAAGCGUUGUCCGGAAUCAUUGGGCGUAAAGAGCGCGUAGGCGGCCCUGUAAGUCCGCUGUGAAAGUCAAGGGCUCAACCCUUGGAUGCCGGUGGAUACUGCAGGGCUAGAGUCCGGACGAGGCGAGUGGAAUUCCUGGUGUAGCGGUGAAAUGCGCAGAUAUCAGGAGGAACACCGGUGGCGAAGGCGGGUCUCUGGGCCGAUACUGACGCUGAGGAGCGAAAGCGUGGGGAGCGAACAGG